rnacentral:lncRNA from 1 species
CCAUAUUACGAACAUGAAAUGAACAGAUUUGCAUGAACAAGCAAGUAAAUCCAAAUAUCUGAAGCCUCAAAUCCUUUAAAAUAACCGAGAAGAAACAAGUGAUCGUCAUUCAACUUGAAAUACAAUCAAGCAAAAGGAUAAUGGGAUCAUCUAGUAGGCAAUACAGUAUAACAUGUUGGCAUACCCUUGAGCUAUAUAAAUGAUACCUAAAGGCAAAGUAUUGCGCAUCAAUUAAUAACAACAUUGCCCCAUAGAUCAAGUUACAUAGCUAUAUUGUAGUCAGUGAUUGGAGGAUGGUGGAGCAAAUAGCCAUAGCCCUCUCUUAUUUCUUCUGCAUUCAAGCUGAGGAACAAGUUCCUGAUCAUUUUGACCAUUGUCAAAUAUGUUAAAGAGCUAAAAUUUCAACGAAAAUGAAAACAAACAUUUCCCAGAAGGGAAAGAUUUAAACUUUAAUCAGAAGAAGCCAUAGUUUUUGUUCACCAUGAUAACAAACAAACAAAAGAUCAUAUAAAUCAAAAACAAAAAAACAAAAACGCUGAAAGGAUUAAAAUCGAUCUGGGUUUUCAUUUCAUCAACAAAACAGGGGAAAUAAUAGAAUACAUAAGAACACUCAGUGGAUAAAAAAUUUACCUUUACGAUUGCAGAAUCUCAGAAAGCAAAGAGCUUUAAUGGCUGAGAAGCAAAAAUGGGGAAUUGAUUUUGAGUGAGAGGGGUUACAGUUUCAAUUUUCAGAUAGAUUCAAAGAAGGGUUCAUUUUAGGCAGCAAUGGAGAGGGACAAGGGAAACUCAAG